GACGAACGCUGGCGGCGUGCUUAACACAUGCAAGUCGAACGGAAAGGCACCUUUGGGGGUACUCGAGUGGCGAACGGGUGAGUAACACGUGAGUAACCUGCCCUUGCCUUCGGGAUAACUUCAGGAAACUGGGGCUAAUACCGGAUAGGCAUCCUUGCUGCAUGGGGGGGGUUGGGAAGCUUUGGCGGUUUUGGAUGGACUCGCGGCUUAUCAGCUUGUUGGUGGGUUAGUGGCUUACCAAGGCUUUGACGGGUAGCCCGCCUGAGAGGGCGACCGGCCACAUUGGCUCUGAGAGACGGCCCAGACGCCUACGAGAGGCAGCAGUGGGGAAUAUUGCACAAUGGGCGGAGGCCUGAUGCAGCAACGCCGCGUGUGGGAUAACGGCCUUCGGGUUGUAGACCGCUUUCAGCAGGAGCGAAGCUUGUGGUGACGGUACCUGCAGAAUAAGCACCGGCUAACUACGUG
rnacentral:rRNA from 1 species